rnacentral:rRNA from 1 species
AUUCCAAUCGAACUCGGAGAUAGCUGGUUCUCCCCGAAAUAGCUUUAGGGCUAGCCUCAUAUUAGAUACCCGGAGGUAAAGCACUGAAUGGCCUAGCGCCCGAGAGGGUAGCGAAGCCUAUCAAACUAAGAAUGCCGGAGUAUUGAUGUAUGGGAGUCAGACAGUGUGAGAUAAAUCUCAUUGUCAAAAGGGAAACAGCCCAGAUCUACAGCUAAGGUCCCAAAUUGUAUCUAAGUGGAAAACGAUGUGGAAAUACGCAGACAACCAGGAUGUUGGCUCAGAAGCAGCCACUCAUUUAAAGAGUGCGUAAUAGCUCACUGGUCGAGCGUCUCUGCGCGGAAAAUUUAACGGGGCUAAGAUACAAACCGAAGCUUAGGCUGCACGUAAGUGCGGGGUAGGGGAGCGUUGUGUAAGCGGAGAAACAGUAGCGUAAGCGGCUGUGGAGUUUACAGAAGUGAGAAUGCCGGAAUGAGUAGCGCGAAUGUGGUGAGAAUCCACAUGGCCGGAAACCUCAGGUUUUUGGAGGAAGGUUCGUCCGCUCCAAGUUAGGCGGGAGCUAAGGUCAGGCCGCAAGGCGUAGCCGAUGCACAGACGGUAGAGAUUCCGUCCCCACCGAAAGAUUUAAGCACAGGGACACUUUUAGAAGGUCAGAGCCGGGUGUUGGUUCCGGUAGUGAUCGAGGGAAAUUUAGUACCGAAGUCUGGCUGGAUGAGAGGCGAGAAAAGCUGUGUGUAUAUCUAAGGUGCCCGUACCGCAAACCGACACAGGUAGGUAGGAAGAAGAUUCUAAGGCCAACGGGAGAAGGGUUGUUAAGGAACUCGGCAAGUUGACCCCGUAACUUCGGAAUAAGGGGUGCUCACGAGAGUGAGCCGCAGAGAAUAGGCCCAGGCAACUGUUUACCAAAAACACAGGUUUGUGCUAAAUCGAAAGAUGACGUAUACGAGCUGACGCCUGCCCGGUGCUGGAAGGUUAAGAGGAGAUGUGCAAGCAUUGAAUCGAAGCCCCAGUGAACGGCGGCCGUAACUAUAACGGUCCUAAGGUAGCGAAAUUCCUUGUCAGGUAAGUUCUGACCCGCAUGAAAGGCGUAAUGAUUUGGGCACUGUCUCAACAGCCCGCCCGGCGAAAUUGUAGU